rnacentral:lncRNA from 1 species
GGAAAAGAAGAGAUGGAAGGAAACUGUUGCUUCAUUUUCUGUUCAUGGAAGGGGAGAGAGAAUAUCUGAGUUUGGUGGGAGCAGGCACAGACAGCAGAAGGUAAUUAUGCAGCCAAAUUCAGACUUGGGAGAAACACAACAACUGUGAUAGGUGAUUCCAGGACAGGGAAGUGUGCUCCUGACGGAACAUUCCUGGCCACCCAGACCACUUGUCCAGACGUGGAACUCCCAACAGUAGCUUAGAGCUCAUACAAUACCAAGCACUGCAACCGCGCAGAGUUUUCUCAGUUUGAAGUCACGGCUGAGGUGUGAAGGUGUCAUCUGGAUUUGGGAUUUUGUCUGAAUUUAUCUUACGUUUAAUAAUUUUUUGGCAAUGCUAGGCCAGAGUUAUUCUUUAUGCACAGCAAGCAUGUUUCCAAGAUGAAGCACAAAUGCUUUUAUGGGCUUCCAGGGCAGGGGAUGUUGCAUGCUCAAUGUAUAUAUUCUAUUCAAAUGUGGAAUGAAUAAUGAAAAGAUGGUUCUUUCCUUGUAUGUUAUUUUGGAUAUGUGGCUGGUCAAAGACUCCUAUAAGGACCAAUAAAAAGGAAGGAUCAUUGGAUUCUAUACUGUCAAUGUCUGACUUUGUCUUGGAAAAAUUGC